rnacentral:lncRNA from 1 species
AUACUCAAGUGUUAUGUGUUUCUAAUUCUACGCCUAACAACUAUGUCCUACAAAUCUACCAAACACUAACUUCAAUAACGGCAUAAUAGUCAAAUAUUCGAAUGUUUUAUUUGUGUGAUAAACUGUGUGAGAAUAAAGUACUUUUUACAAAUAAAAUAAGAAACCUGGCAUGACUCUUAAUUUUAGAUUUCUGACUCUGAUAUUAUGUUAAAAGAUAUAUGAAGUUAUUCUCUAAAGUCUAC